rnacentral:rRNA from 1 species
CCUACGGGUGGCAGCAGUGGGGAAUAUUGGGCAAUGGGCGCAAGCCUGACCCAGCAACGCCGCGUGAAGGAAGAAGGCUUUCGGGUUGUAAACUUCUUUUGACAGGGAAGAGUAGAAGACGGUACCUGUCGAAUAAGCCACGGCUAACUACGUGCCAGCAGCCGCGGUAAUACGUAGGUGGCAAGCGUUGUCCGGAUUUACUGGGUGUAAAGGGCGUGUAGCCGGGUUGACAAGUCAGAUGUGAAAUCCUGCGGCUUAACCGCAGAACUGCAUUUGAAACUGGCAAACUGGAGUGUGUGAGAGGAUAGUGGAAUUCCAGGUGUAGGAGUGAAAUCCGUAGAUAUCUGGAGGAACAUCAGUGGCGAAGGCGACUAUCUGGCACAUAACUGACGCUGAGGAGCGAAAGCGUGGGUAGCAAACAGGAUUAGAUACCCUUGUAGUC